rnacentral:rRNA from 1 species
AUUGAACGCUGGCGGCAUGCCUUACACAUGCAAGUCGAACGGCAGCACGGGAGCAAUCCUGGUGGCGAGUGGCGAACGGGUGAGUAAUGUAUCGGAACGUGCCCAGUCGUGGGGGAUAACGUAGCGAAAGCUACGCUAAUACCGCAUACGCUCUAUGGAUGAAAGCGGGGGAUCGCAAGACCUCGCGCGAUUGGAGCGGCCGAUAUCAGAUUAGGUAGUUGGUGGGGUAAAGGCACACCAAGCCGACGAUCUGUAGCUGGUCUGAGAGGACGACCAGCCACACUGGGACUGAGACACGGCCCAGACUCCUACGGGAGGCAGCAGUGGGGAAUCUUGGACAAUGGGCGCAAGCCUGAUCCAGCAAUGCCGCGUGCAGGAUGAAGGCCUUCGGGUUGUAAACUGCUUUUGUACGGAACGAAACGGCGAGCUCUAAUACAGUUUGCUAAUGACGGUACCGUAAGAAUAAGCACCGGCUAACUACGUGCCAGCCGCCGCUGUAA